AACGAACGCUGGCGGCGUGCCUAAUACAUGCAAGUCGAACGCGGAAGUCACUUCGGUGGCGAGUAGAGUGGCGCACGGGUGAGUAACGCGUGGGUAAUUUGACCUUUUGCCUGGGAUAACCACGGGAAACUGUGGCUAAUACCGGAUAAGCUCACGAAUCCGCUUAGGGAUUAGUGAGAAAAGGGUGCCUCUUCUUGAAAGCACUUACAGAAGGAGAAGCCCGCGUCCCAUUAGCUUGAUGGUAGGGUAACGGCCUACCAUGGCUACGAUGGGUAGCUGGUCUGAGAGGAUGAUCAGCCACACUGGAACUGAGACACGGUCCAG
rnacentral:rRNA from 1 species